CAAUAGCGUAUAUUAAAGUUGUUGCAGUUAAAAAGCUCGUAGUUGGAUUUCUGGUGGAGAAGCUCCGCCCUCACGCGAGUGCGCGGAGGCUCUCUACCAUCCUUCUGUUAACCCUCGUGGUCCUUUAUUGGAUGCUUGGGAGCCCAGAUAUUUUACCUUGAGAAAAUUAGAGUGUUUCAGGCAGGCUUUCGCCCGGAUACAUUAGCAUGGAAUAAUAGAAUAGGACUUUUGCCUCUUCUGUUGGUCUGAGGGGUCGAAGUAAUGAUUAAUAGGGAUAGUUGGGGGCAUUAGUACUUAACUGUCAGAGGUGAAAUUCUUGGAUUUGUUAAAGACUAACUUAUGCGAAAGCAUUUGCCAAGGAUGUUUUCAUUAAUCAAGAACGAAAGUUAGGGGAUCAAAGACGAUCAGAUACCAU
rnacentral:rRNA from 1 species